CGCAUCUGUGCAUGCAGCAUAUCAAUAAGCGGAGGAAAAGAGGGCUAUUACCUACGCUUAGGAUGUUGACACACGCGCGUGCUCGACUCUAUACAUGACUCUGUGCAUAUCAAUAAGCGGAGGAAAAGAAACUAACAAGGAUUCCCCUAGUAACGGCGAGUGAAGCGGGAAGAGCUCAAAUUUGAAAUCUUAAAGGGUUUCCCUUUACGAAUUGUAGUUUAAAGAAGUGUUUUCUGUUGAGGUUUUGGUAAAAGUUCUUUGGAAUAGGACAUCAUAGAGGGUGAGAAUCCCGUAUUUGACCUUUACUUUCAACUUUGUGAUACACUUUCAAAGAGUCGGAUUGUUUGGGAAUGCAGUCCAAAAUGGGUGGUAAAUUUCAUCUAAAGCUAAAUAUUGGCGAGAGACCGAUAGCGAACAAGUACCGUGAGGGAAAGAUGAAAAGAACUUUGAAAGGAGAGUUAAACAGUACGUGAAAUUGUCAAAAGGGAAGCGUUUGACACCAGUGUUGUUUUUCUGAAAAUCAAUUAAAGAACUGUUUAUGCUAAGCUGUUUAGACUUUAUCAGCUAUCUGUUUAGUUUUGAGCUUUUCUUUAAUGCACUUUUCAGUUAACAAGUCAACAUCAAUUUCUUUUGCUGUAAAAAAGCUUGAGGAAGGUGGCUUGAGAUUCGUCUUAAGUGUUUAUAGCCUCUUGCCUAUGCAGUCGGAGAGAUUGAGGUCUGCAGCGUAGAUCCUUCGGGGCUAAAUGCAUUUGUGCUAAGUUAUAGCAUCUUAUAGACAACUUGUUGACUAUGAUUUGUCUUGUAGCUUACUCGCUUAUGUUAUUUUACCUACGCUUAGGAUGUUGAAUCUGUGCGAGACUAC
rnacentral:rRNA from 1 species